rnacentral:tRNA from 1 species
CUCACGGUCGCGCUCUGGCGCGGCGCGCGGCGGCUGGCGCUGGCCGCGCUCCUGGUCGAGCUGGCCGGGGUGCUGAUCAUCGGCACCGUCAGCC